rnacentral:rRNA from 1 species
AUUGAACGCUGGCGGCAGGCUUAACACAUGCAAGUCGAGCGGAGAUGAGGUGCUUGCACCUUAUCUUAGCGGCGGACGGGUGAGUAAUGCUUAGGAAUCUGCCUAUUAGUGGGGGACAACAUUCCGAAAGGAAUGCUAAUACCGCAUACGUCCUACGGGAGAAAGCAGGGGAUCUUCGGACCUUGCGCUAAUAGAUGAGCCUAAGUCGGAUUAGCUAGUUGGUGGGGUAAAGGCCUACCAAGGCGACGAUCUGUAGCGGGUCUGAGAGGAUGAUCCGCCACACUGGGACUGAGACACGGCCCAGACUCCGACGGGAGGCAGCAGGGGGGAAUAUGGGACAAUGGGGGGAACCCUGAUCCAGCCAUGCCGCGUGUGUGAAGAAGGCCUUAUGGUUGUAAAGCACUUUAAGCGAGGAGGAGGCUCUUUUGGUUAAUACCCAAGAUGAGUGGACGUUACUCGCAGAAUAAGCACCGGCUAACUCUGUGCCAGCCGCCGCCGUAA